UAAGCUUGAUAUUGGCCUCUUUGAUGAUGCAAUGCAUUUUGUCAUGUGAAUGGGGAAUUGAACAUGCUGUUAAGUGAAUUUGAAUGGAAUCUUUUUCUUUAAGACUUGGAGAGCUGAGGAAGGUAGCUUCAGAUUACUCGUGUGUUAACUGGGUCAUGAAUCCGUGAUCCAACGUUAGAACAAGAACAAAACCUGAAUAGAAGAGAAAGGCUAUUUGGUGGAUGUUGCAGAAAUACUAGCGAUGAAGUCUCACAUUGCUGAGAAGAGAAAACAAUGACCUGAUAUUUUAUUAUAAAAGACAACUCUGGAGCCUUAAAAGCUCAUACCUUUCUCGGCCUUUUGGCUAAGAUCAAGUGUAGUAUCUGUUCUUAUCAGUUUAAUAUCUGAUAUGUGGGCCAUUGGUCCACACGAUAUUAAAUUACUUUUUUAAUGGGGAGAGUCCAUCACAGUAGCUUGCUAUUGGGACUCUCAUGUGUCGCCCAUGCGUUGCACUGUAGCACGGGCCUGGCACACCCUAU